AUAUUAUGCACUUAGGCCAAACACAUUCUUCCUCAAUGUCGUCAACUCUUAGCCUUUCGACAUCAAUCCUCAAGGAAAAAACAGAGGAAAGCAUUUAAUGGAGAUUUACAAAAGAAAUGAUUGCUUUCAACAACAACAACGUUAUUAAACAGAAAACUAAGAAAUCAUUCCAUGCAGAUACAGAUACCGAAACUUGAUUCAAUAGCUUGAAGUAUGACAAUUUAUCGGUCAAAUAAUUCAACAGCUUGUGGGCGGCAUGUAGCCAAUUAACUUCAUCGAACAAAGCGAAAUAUUUGAAAAAGGGCCCUAAUAAAAAAACUUAAGAUACAGACUGUUUGUUUUUUCUACACAUUAUGAGAAGCUUUUUGCCUACUAAAAUGAAGCUUAAAACUAACUAAAAUUGUUAGCAGAUCUAUAAAGACUUUCAAACGUUCUAUGCAACCAGCACAUCAAUACCUUCCUUGUGGCAAAACCAUUGGAAUACAUCAAAAACUUCAUGAAGGAAAACAUUAAGGACUAAAAGGUUACAGAAACAUUGAACGACUUGGGAGAUACUAAUUUUGGAGAAGGUGAUUUCGUGCUAAAGAUAAUUAAAAGUAUUCACUUCUAAUUAUUUUCAAUAGCAGCAGUUUCAAGAAAAUGUGAAACCGGAUCCAAGUCAAGA